rnacentral:tRNA from 1 species
GAGGGUAUAGCUCAGUGGUAGAGUGCAUACUUAGCAUGCACAAGAUUCUGGGUUCAAUCCCCAGUACCUUCA